UGGCUCCAGCAUCGAUGAAGAACGCAGCGAAACGCGAUAAGUAAUGUGAAUUGCAGAAUUCAGUGAAUCAUCGAAUCUUUGAACGCACAUGGCGCCUUCCAGUAUCCUGGGAGGCAUGCCUGUCCGAGCGUCGUUUCAACCCUCGAGCCCCCGUGGCCCGGCGUUGGGGAUCUGCCCAGGCAGGCCCCGAAAACCAGUGGCGGACCCGUUACAGGCCCUUCCUUUGCGUAGUAAUACUGCCUCGCAUCGGGAGCCGACGGGCUUUCAGCCUCUAAACCCCCAGCAAGUCCGCUCCGGCGGCACCAAGGUUGACCUCGGAUCAGGUAGGAAUACCCGCUGA
rnacentral:misc_RNA from 1 species